rnacentral:lncRNA from 1 species
UCGACAUCAUUUGCCUAAUGAUCAAAGGGUUUCAAAAUUUGUAAUUUUAAUGGUGGAUAAGAGACGUUUUCUCGUUUAACGGUGUAAAGAUAUCCAAAUCAAUUGAAUUUUUGUUAGAAAAUUUUUUAAACUAUUUAAAACAAGAUCUAUACUUUUGAUCUUGAUUACAAGACUCAUAUCAUCAUUUUUUAAAGAAUAUUCAUUUUUAGCCAUUCAUUUUUUGUUCACUAGAUGGAUAGAAGAACAAUAUCGAAAGUGCGUGAAAUUUGAUUUCUAGGUAGUUUAAAUGGUUUAGAUCAUAUUUAACAGAGCCGAUCGUCAAUUUUAAAGCUCUAUCAUCGAAAACAACUCGAUAGUAAAACGCCCCGUUUACUAUCGAGAGUAUUCUAGCUCAACUCAUAUAUAUAUAUAUAGAACUAGGCUACUAUACUAUCGGUAGCACGGAGCGCUCCGUGCUACCAAGUUGUUUUCGAUAUAUAUAUAUAUAUAUAUAUAUAUAUAUAUUUUACAAGUUAAGGUGUUUAAAAUAAAUAUUAUUUUUUAUCGAAAGAUAGAGCAUAUCUCAAUUAUUGAUUAAAUUGAUGGUUAAAUCAAUAAUGACAGUUAGAAUUGCAUUCUGCAUUUUAGAUGGACGAUAAAAUUAGUUAGUUUAAAUUUUGUGCUCAUCUAAUUUUCAAAAAUAAAGAUUUUAUGAUAGAAAAGAAAAUUAUAAAUAUCACAUUAAUUACCUACGUUUGUCUCACAUCUAAUUCUUACUACUCUCAACUAACAUACCAAAAAGUAUACUAUUUAAAACUGUGUAAUAAUUCUCAAAUCAAAAGUAACCUUAAGAAUUGCUAUGGAAUAUAAUAAAUAGGUGCCAGUACUGUUUCUGUUUUUGACUAAAGUGUGGAAAAGAAUUUUAAGGAAUUUUUUAAUGGAGUUAAUUGCGCCGUUGGUGUUUUUUCAGGUAGACCCUAACCCUUUUCGCAUUAAGCCCGAUUUUAUCGAUCUCAAUAUCGCAUUCAUACCCACGACUAUCUCGAGUCCGCACAUAACAUUUACUGUCUCUUUUAGAGCUUUCGAUAUUUUUGAUCAUUCAGUUAGAAGUGCCAUUAUAUUCUUUAAAAAAUUUUAAAAGAACGUCAAUGUUGAAAUCCAUCAGAGGUAAACUUAAGUACUUGACUAUGAUUAUAAUUUAUAUGAAUAAGCAAAAUUUUAUUAAAGUUGAUAUAACUUAUUUCAUUAUAGUUGCCAAAUUUUUUUUAAAAAAAAGUAAAAUUUAGGGACUAAUGUUGCAAUUAACCUAUUGUUAAUGCUGUUUCCAAGUGGGGACUUUUUAAAAAAAUCUUUUUGGGACAUUUUUGGUGGUGAUUCUUGGUGUUCAUACUGAUGAGCCAAGAGCGCGCCUUUUUCUAUUUUUUUAAAUUUUUUGGUGAAUCUAAUGAUGAUUGGUCCCCUCAUUGUUUUUUUUUUUUUUGUUUUUUGGCUAAAUAUAAAAUUGGUUAAGAUGUAUAGACACCCCUAAACUUUAAUACGUUCUGAAAAUGACCUUUUAAACUUUUUUUUUUUUAUUCCAUAUGCACUCCUCUACUUAUUAAUUACUUGAUUUACGCCCCUCUACUUACUAAUUACUUGAUUUAGUUUCUUUCAUUAAUAAUUUUGGAGAUUCUUUUAAAAAUCAAAAUAAACGUCCAUGAGAGAUGUACGUGAUCAAAAAUUAUUUUAGUCAACAGAAAAAAGUCAAGUACAUCCCUCGUAGAUCUUUGAAUGAAAGAAGCCAAAUCAAACGAUUAGUAAGUAGAUGGGGAUAUAAAUCAUAGGAAAAAAAAAAAUCAGAGGGUCAAUUUCAAACAGAUUAAAGUUCAGAAGGUGUCUAUACAUUUUAACCUAUAAAAUUGUGAAAAAUACUGAGUCUACAACUCUUAUGGGGUUGUAAACGUUAAAACCCUCAAACCCUAGCAUUGCUCUAAAAUUUUCUAUUUCACUUCACUUCAAUUUGUAUCCUUCACAAUAUUACCAUUUUAAAUAGAUACUAAAAUUUUAGAAUAAUUGUUGAAUUCAAAUGCAACAUAUCGCCAAAAUUACUUGACGUACCACAUUAAUUUUAUAAUCAUAUAACCGUAAAAUUAUAACUUAUAUAAUAUAUUUAAACUUAAAUAAAAGAAGCUUUUUCUCAAAUAAAAUAAUCAAACCUGGCUAUUUACAGGGCAAUUUAUUUGCUUUAUAGCAGUGACGAAGCCAGAAUUCAAUCACAAGGGGGGCCAAAAUAUGUACAAAUAAAAAGUUUAGCGGAUAAAUAAAAUUUUAACUAUUCAAAAUUUUAAUAAAAAAAUUUAGUAAUUAGAUAAUUAAUGUUAAAAUAUAUUAAAUUUAUUUCUUUAAUUUACACUCGCUUAACUUCUAAUUAUUUUAUUUGCAUUAUUUCAUUCAAAUAAUUUAAGAAUUUUACUAAAUCUAAUAGCAAUUUAGUUAGAAUUUAAUUUUUUUAAAUUUUUGUUAAUAAAAUAAUAACAACCAAUGACUAAUAUCUAACAGAGCUAUUAAAUUUAGCAUACUAUUUUAUUUAGUUAAAUAAAUUAGCUCAUCAAAAUAAUUGGAAAGUUAAGAAUGUAUAAAUAAAAUAUUUAAAGUUGAAAGGACUUAUUUCAAAAUGCAUUAUAAUUAAAAGGUUCUUAAUAUAUUUUCAAGCACAUAAGAAGAGAGAGGGAGCUCAAUAUUAGCACUAAAAACUUUUUACAAAAUAGGCCGAUAUAUUUUAAAAUUUAAUUGAAAAUAUAUUAACUACCAAAGAAUUAUAAAGUAAAUAUUGAAAAGUUGAAGAGGGCCAUGGCUCCUUUGGGUCUAUAUAUGGGCUGUCCCUGUGCGUAAGCCUUGGAGUCUUGGCCCACAAGCCAACAAUUCUUUUCAAAAAAAUUUCAAUUUGGUCCCCUAAAUUUACAAUAUUUUAAUUUUUUUAUUAGCUUACUAGUGGAUUGUUCUCUAAUUUUAAAAAUGUGGGGGGGCCAUGGCCAUUGUCGGCCCCCACAUGGCUCCGUCCCUGCUUUAUAGGAUUAUAUUUCAUUAAAUAUAUGAAAAAACUUCAAAUACUACACUGUGGUUUCGCACUUUCUCACUUUAGUACCUUAUGGUUUAAAGUGUAUCAAUUCAGUACCCUGUGAUUUCACUUUUCUCUUUUUGUUGCCUCCUCAGUCCUCACUUAGCAUUUCGUUAAAUUAUAUACAAAAAACUUCAGAUACCCCAUCUAGAUUUAUCGAAUAUUUACUUUAGUAUUUUUUAAUUUUAACUAUGUCGCUAAUUUAAUAAAAAAAAAAUUAGCGUAAGGGAUAAUAAAAAUAAAAAAAAUGAAAUCAUGGGGUACUAAAUUGAUACACUUUAAAUCACAGGGUACUAAAAUAAAAAAAGUGCGAAACGACAAAAGUGGUAUUUGAAGUUUUUCCUAAAUAUAACAAUGGUUAUUUUACCAAUUGGUUUUAACAAAGUUGUAAAAACUUUUAAACGUAUUAUAUCCUUUUAGUUUAGGCUUGUUUCGUUGGAGUAGGUAUUUAUUUAUUGGAUUGAUUUGAGAAUGGGGAUCAGGGGAGCCAACAACAAGCAUCAAUCAUAUUGUUGCGUGUUGUUUUGUUGUCACGCAACGUUACUUCUGUUAUGCGUUAUUUAUUGGAUUGAUUUGAGAAUGGGGAUCAGGGGAGCCAACAACAAGCAUCAAUCAUAUUGUUUUGUUGUCACGCAACGUUACUUCUGUUAUGCGUUCCCAUCGGCAUGAGCUUAGCCGCUCCCUUUCUUCUACUAUUUUCUUAAUUUAGGCUCAUAUAUAUAUAUAUAUAUAUAUAUAUAUAUAUAUAUAUAGUCCGGCUAUUAUGCUAUUAAUAACAGCACUUGGUGCUACCAAGUUUUUCACCGUUAGAUCUACCCUUUUGAUCAUUUUCACAUGUUAGAUCAUACUAUUCAACCAACCACCCACUCAACCGUGAGAGGCACCACAUCGUAUCUUAGCAGCACCAUCUCCUGACUUGGUGCUAUUAAUCAGUGAUAUUGCGCUAUUUUAAAAACCGGACCAUGGGUAGACUAAUCUGCCCGUCCCAUUUCUGGUUAUAUAAUAUAUCUAUAUGUCCGAUAUAUAUAUAAUAUAUAGGCUAUAUAUAGUGAUAUAUUACUGAUAUAAUAUUAUAUAACCGGAGGUAAUAGAGUUGGGAAGGCACUAUGCUAUCGCGGAAUCGGAGCCUUCCGUGCUUCAGCUCGUUUUCAGUGUUGCGACUUUCGAAUCGUCGAUCGGCUCCGUUAAACUUGAUCUAGAGUAUUUGAGUACCUAGAAAAUAAAUUUUAUUAUUUUUCGAUAUCAUUUGCCUAGUGAUCGAAUGGGCUCAAAUCAACGAAUUUCAAUGGCCUGUAGGGAGCCGUUUGCAAGUGAACGCUGUGUAGAAAUAUCCAAAUCACGCUGAAAUUUUGAUAGAAAUUUUUUAUACUAUAUAAAACAAAGAUCAAUAUUUUUGAUUUAAAAUUUUAAUGUCAUAUUAUUACAUUUUGUAAUAUUUUUAUUUUCAGCCGUUGAUUUUGAGCCCCUUCGUUCACUAGGCAAAUGAUAUCGUAAAAUCAUAAAAUUUAUUUUCUAGGUACUUCAAAUACUCUAGAUCAAGUUUAACGGAGCCGAUCGACGAUUCGAAGGUCGCAACAUCGAAAACGAAGCUGGAAGCACGAGAAGGCUCCGUGCUUCCGAUAGCAUAGUAGCCUCACUCUAUAUAUACUAUAUAUAUAUUAUAUAUAUAUAGAGAGAGAGAGAGAGGAGAGAGAGAGAGAGGAGAGAGAGAGAGAGAGAGAGAGUUGGACUGGGCUACUAUUAGUAGCAAAAACCCAUUGUUGCUACCAGUUUUUUAGCCUUUGGAUCAACUUUUGCAUUAUUUCUAACAUUGGAUUAAAUACUAUAACCACAGUGGCGGGACUAUUCAACCCUAGGGGACCACCUCAAUUCUAACCGGACUAAUAUUAUCCUGACCCUACAAUUUUCAUCCAAUGGUUAAAAUUUGAUAGCAAAAAGAGCGUUUUAUAUUAAUAGUAUUCCACCGUAAUUCUAUAUAUAUAUAGUAUAUAUAUAUUAUAUAUAUAUAGUAUAUAUAUAUAUAUAUAUAUAUAAUUGAGCUAGAAUACUUUUAGAAGUAUCACCCUUUUGAUGCAUUUAGGUUUUUAGCAUUGGAUCUACUCCUUGAUUUACUAAUAACCAUUGAUCAAACACUAUUCUACCUACCACCACCUACCACCAUCAUCUCAACCUACAUUUAUCCAUCCAAGGUUAAAAACUCAAAAGCACGAACCUCUUGAUGCUUUUGAGAGUAUUCUAGCUCAGCUCUAU